rnacentral:lncRNA from 1 species
AAUUACACAACUGCCAAACAAGCCAUUACUUAACAAACUUUAAUUUUGUUUUUCAAAAGCCCUUACUUAAAAUGAGUUCCAAGGACACCAACAUUCAGAAGGCCCUUUGUCCUACAAAACCCCCACCUAAGAGCACUGGCUCAACUUCUUCAAGCUCCGGUGGUAAAAAGCCACCAUCUACGAAGGAUAUAUUUUAUCCCAAAAAUAGAUGAUUUCUCAAAAGGUACUAUAUAUCUAGCUAUGAUAAUUAGGAAUGACACCUUUUCUAUUCGUUUUAGUUCAUAAUAAGUAUCAUAUAUCUUUAGCUAUAAAUUAGUUCGUAUGCAUUUGUUUGAGAGUCUUGCUUAUUUCGUUAAUUUUGAUCUUCAUGCAGGUUUACGUAGAUGCGCUCAAUAAUAUAUAUUUGAAGCAUUGAUUCUAAAAAGAACGAAAGCAUGGUACUAGUUACUAGUUAGGUUACCAUAGUCUCUUUUCGUUAUUUAGGGUUUCCAUGUGUCUGCUUCUAAUAAUGGAGAUUAGAAUUGCACAGUUCGUAAUCCCUAUUAAUUACAUAGCAAAUACUUUGUGAGCUACUACCAUUUAUUUUGGUUUGUGUGCUUUGUACUCAUCAAAAUUAAAGUUGAGCAAUAAUGGUAUACAGAACUAGCUAGGAAUUAACAAAGUUAA